rnacentral:rRNA from 1 species
CUUUAUCGGAGAGUUUGAUCCUGGCUCAGGACGAACGCUGGCGGCGUGCCUAAUACAUGCAAGUCGAGCGGACAGAUGGGAGCUUGCUCCCUGAUGUUAGCGGCGGACGGGUGAGUAACACGUGGGUAACCUACCUGUAAGACUGGGAUAACUCCGGGAAACCGGGGCUAAUACCGGAUGGUUGUUUGAACCGCAUGGUUCAGACAUAAAAGGUGGCUUCGGCUACCACUUACAGAUGGACCCGCG